rnacentral:rRNA from 3 species
UCCUACGGGGAGGCAGCAGUGGGGAAUUUUGGACAAUGGGGGCAACCCUGAUCCAGCAAUGCCGCGUGUGUGAAGAAGGCCUUCGGGUUGUAAAGCACUUUUGUCCGGAAAGAAAUGGCCUGGGCUAAUACCCCGGGUCGAUGACGGUACCGGAAGAAUAAGCACCGGCUAACUACGUGCCAGCAGCCGCGGUAAUACGUAGGGUGCGAGCGUUAAUCGGAAUUACUGGGCGUAAAGCGUGCGCAGGCGGUUUGAUAAGACAGGCGUGAAAUCCCCGGGCUCAACUUGGGAAUGGCGCUUGUGACUGUCAGGCUAGAGUGCGUCAGAGGGGGGUAGAAUUCCACGUGUAGCAGUGAAAUGCGUAGAGAUGUGGAGGAAUACCGAUGGCGAAGGCAGCCCCCUGGGACGUGACUGACGCUCAUGCACGAAAGCGUGGGGAGCAAACAGGAUUAGAUACCCUGGUAGUCCACGCCCUAAACGAUGUCAACUAGUUGUUGGGGAUUCAUUUCUUCAGUAACGUAGCUAACGCGUGAAGUUGACCGCCUGGGGAGUACGGUCGCAAGAUUAAAACUCAAAGGAAUUGACGGCGGGCGGGGGCGGCGG